AGGUCCGUAGCGCAACUGGAAGCGCACCCGGCUCUUACCCGGGGUGGUGAGGGUUCGAUUCCCUCCGGACCUA
rnacentral:tRNA from 2 species